GGCCUCACUUUGGCAGCACAUAUACUAAAAUUGGAAUGAUAACAGAGAAGAUUAACAUGUUCCUUGCACAAGGAUGACAUGUAAAUUCUUAAAGCAUUCCAUAUUUGU